rnacentral:lncRNA from 10 species
AUAAAAGCAGGCUGCCUGAGCCACCAGUGGCAACCCUCUGGGGUCCCCUUGCACGCUGUGGAAGCUUUAUUGUUUCACUCUUUGCAAUAAAUCUUGCUGCUGCUCACUCUUUGGGUCCACACUGCCUUUAUGAGCUGUAACACUCACGAUGAAGUUCUGCAGCUUCACUCCUGAAGCCAGCGACACCACAAACCCACCAGGAGGAAGGAACAACUCCAGAUGCACCUCCUUAAGAGCUGUGACACUCACCGCGAAGGUCCGCAGCUUCACUCCUGAGCCGGCGAGACCACGAACCCCACCAGAAGGAAGAAACUCUGAACACCUCCGAACAUCAGAAGGAACAAACUCUGGACACGCUGCCUUUAGGAACUGUAACACUCACCGCGAGGGUCCCCGGCUUCAUUCUUGAAGUCAGUGAGACCAAAAUCCCACCAAUUCUGGACACACUAGGAAGACUGAGACCCAAUUGGACCAUCAAAGAACGACCCAAUCACCAGCACAAAGCUAAUAAACUUGUAAGCUUUCAAUACAAAUAACGUUGGAACAUAGCUAGGAAGACUUCAGGAGACAGAUUCUCUUUGCAGAGUCUCUGGGAGCCUUUCUCUCUACCAUGUGGAUGCCUGCAGAAGCCUGCACAGUCAUUCUGCCACAUGCACUGUGGAUACACAGCUGAUUUACAGCUGGGCUGAAAAAGCCUCAUCUCUGUUUCUGGGGAUUCCAGGAUAUCCUGUUUUUGACUCUUAGCUAAGACGGAAAAAGUGAUGCUCACGCCAGAGAAGAGUCAGCCCAAGGUCAUCUAGGAUCAGUGGCACACCUAGGAUUCAGGCCCAAGGACCCCCAGCUGACCUGCCUUCCCUGGAACCUCACUGUGAGUUCUUUAACCAUGGCUGUGUUUUCAAAGUUGAACUGGGGCUGCUGUUGAUACCACCUUUAAAUGCCUGCUUUUGUCAUGGAGACCAUGAGAACUUCACUCUUCAGCUGGCAAUUUACCUGGCUGCACAGUGCUCAGGCACACACAGGCUUCAGGGCUACAAGGUAAAGGAUUUGCCAAGGCCAAGUGCUGAAACCCACUUCUUGUUUUGAAGCAAAUGAGAACUUCCACCUGUAUUUGACCUGGGUAUGUAUAUUAAUUAGUUUGGCAACUGAGAUUUUUUUCUUGAUGAUCAAAAGUCCUAACUGGCAGUUAAAUAUGUCUUUUUUUUUUUUUUUUUUGAGACAGAGUUUCCCUCUUGUCACUCAGACUGGAGUGCAAUGGCACAAUCGAGGCUCACUGCAACCUCUUUCUCCCCAGUUCAAGCAAUUCUCCUGUUUCAGCCUCCCAAGUAGCUGGGAUCACAGGUGUCUGCCACCACACCUGGCUAAUUUUGUAUUUUUUAGUAGAGACAGGUUUUCACCAUGUUGGCUAGAUUGGUCCUGAACUCCUGACCUCAGGUAAUCCACCCGCCUCGGCCUCCCAAAGUUCUGGGAUUACAGGUGUGAGCCGCUGCCCCUGGUCAAAUAUGUCUUUUUAAAAAAAUAAUAAUAAUGACUUUUAAAUACAAGUGACCUGAGUAUGCAAAGUAUUUCUAGACUCAGGGUUCUUAAAGUGAGGAAAAAUUAGCAAAAGCAUUAUUUGACAGCCCCUAGAAUAGGCCAAAUAUGAAAUAACUAACAAAUUGCAGAUAGUAGUGUGCUCUACAAAGAAAAAGAGAGCAAGACAAUGGAUUACAGAAAAGAUGAAGUUUAUUUUAGAUGGAGUAUUAAGUGACAGAUUCUAUGAGGAGGUGAAAAUUGACCAGACAACUGAAAGAAGUAAAACAGCCAUACUAGUAUCUCAGGAAAAAUUAUCGCAGGAAAAAAAGAGGAAAAAUAAAAUGACUCUAUGUCGGAGGGAGUUUGGGCUGGCAUGGUGGCUCAUGCCUUUAAUCCCAGCACUUUGGGAGGGCGAGGUGGGUGGAUCACUUGAGGUCAGGAGUUCGAGACCAGCCUGCUGAACAUAGUGAAACCCGUCUCUACUAAAAAUACAAAAAUUAGCCUGGUGUGGUGGUGGGUGCCUGCAAUCUCAGCUACUCAGGAGGCUGAAGCAGGAGAAUUGCUGGAACCUGGGAGGUGGAGGUUGCAGUGAGCCUAGAUCAUGCCACUGCACUCCAGCCUGGGUGACAGAGUGAGACUCCACAAAAAAAAAAAAAAAAGGGGGGGGUGGGUGGGGAGGAGGGUUUGGCAUGUUUAAUGGAAAAGGUCUGUGUGUGACCAGAAUAGAUGGAAUGCAGAGAAGCAAAAUAUAGAUUUUAAUUUCCAUGGUUCUUUACUGAAGAGUGUUUCUUAUUUAAGUAACAACGCUAUGAUUAAAUUGAUUGUGAAAGAAUUACAAAUCUAGAAUUUAUUGCAUGAUCAGAUAGGAGAACAGAUUUGAUUUGCUAACUCUGUAUAAUAUACUACAGUGUAAGCCACCCUCUAUUACUUUAGCAAAAGAUGUUUUUUUCAUUUUCCUGCAAGUAUAUUUUUUCUCUAAAACCUUAAUUAGCAUUUUUUAAUAUUGCUGAAAGAUGGGGAUAUAAGUUCCAUUUAUUUCUUGAAACUGAAUAUAAUUAUCAAAUAUUGAAAAAUAAUAAUGGGCAUCAUUAUAAUUACUGUUAAGUAGUUUUCCUGUGUAGAGAGAAUUAUAAAAAUAUCCUUCAUUAUCUUUCAUGGAUAAAUGAUGUUUUUCUCAUGAGCCAGAGAAAAAUUAUCACAAUGUCUGCCCAGGUGUUUCUGUUAUGCUUACAGAAGUGAGUAGUGCUAUUUGCAGACACUGUACUUUCUCUCUUUUUCAUAUGAGUACAUUAAUCAAUUGUGGAGUUGUGGCAUCUGCUGUAAAACAAUUUGUUUUUCCAUUAUUUGAUGGCUACACUUUUUCUUUUAGUUUUUUUCUCUUCUUAUUGAAUCACAUUUUCUUUCCUCUUCUUUUAAAAAUAUUGCUGUAUUGAUUUACAAAAAAUAUAUAUUUUAUUGCCUCAUUUUAAUUUUUGGUAAUCCAUGUACUGCUUUAUUAAGGCCUAUAUAACUCAUAAUCCAACUCAUCGAUUAAAAGUUCAGGAAACCAAAGAGAUGGCUUUUUCUCCAAUUGAAGAUAUCAUAAUGAUAAUUUUGGGGGCUGGUGAAAACUGAGAUUGUCAGAAGGCUAAUUUUUUCUUAGAUGUCAUUUUUGUUGGUCACAAACUAGAGAUGAAGCUCUCUACAGGCAAGUAUAGAACCAUCUCUCUGUGCAACAAUUUGUAUUUUCAGACCACUUUUAGUCUUUGGGGGUAGAUACAAUUACUUAGAAAAAUCUUCAAUGUCUCUUUGGAAAACAGUUGAUCUCGAACUCAGUUCUAAAGCUGAGUCAGCAUCACAGGAUUUCAGAUUCUUGAAUGUUAUUUUUGUUGUCUUUCUCUUACUAAAUUGUUAUCACUGAAUAUUUCUCCUUUGUUUUACUCCAUUUGGACUGCUAUAACAAAAUACCAUAGACUGAGUAGCUUAUAAUACAGAAUUCACAUCUCACAGUUCUGAGGCUGGGAAGUUCAGCAUCAAGGUGCCAGCAGGUUCAGUGUCUUGUGAGGGCCUGUUUUCGGUUUCAUGGAGGGCCCCUUCUCACUGCAUCUUUACGUGGUACAAGUGGCAAGUCAGCUCUCUGGGGCCUCUUUUAUAAGAACACUUAUAGGAAUAUUGAAUUAGUGAACGAGCUCUGUUCUCGUGAAUUAAUCAUCUCCCAAAAGGCCCUAUCUCCUAACCCAUUUAUGCUGGAGGUUGCAAUUUUUGUGUGUGAAAAAUCAGACCUUGGCAAUGACCUUGAGCAGUAGGAUAUAAAUAACUCCCACAAGCUUAGCAUUCCAAUAAGGGAACACUAGGCAUAAAUGGGCUUAAUACCCUCAUCUUAGGGGAAAGGAUUUCAAUAUGUGAAUUUUGUGAAACACAAACAUUCAGACGGCAGCAUCUUUGCUUUCUUAAAAAGUUAAAUGAAACAAGUUCCCAAAUUUAAACAAGCAGAAAUAUGUAUACAGAUAAGGGUAGAGGAAUAGUUUAAAAUUAUUUUAAUUAGAUAUUUGAAGUCCUCAGUACGCUACAUUUAUAAAAAAGAAAUGGUAUAUGUGACAGGGAGCAAAAUAAAACCCUGUGUCAUAAAAAGAAUCCACUAUCAAUUAUUUAAAAAGAUCUUAGCAAGGAAAUAUCAGCUUCGAUAUUACAAACUUUUCAGAUGUGAAAAAUGAUUUAUUUUCAAAUAUAGUUCAAAUGAAGUUUUGCCUUAACAAAAUGGCUUUUCUAAAGGCCACCUUUAGAUCAAAAUACUUAAUCUAACUUGUGCCACUUCUUGGUAACCCUUGGUAACCCCUAAAUUGUUUUCUCUAUUUUCUCCAACUACUCUACUAAAAAGUUUCUUCCUAUUUCUCCACAUGGCUUCAAAAAAGGGAACAUAAAAGAGAAAUACCAGUCAGUGAUAAUCAUGUGGAAAAAAAUAAUAAUGUGAAGCAAUUUUUGUUUGUUUGUUUGUUUGUUUGUUUUCUCUCGAGGUCAUGAUCUGGUACUUUUUUACAGCAAACUCAUACUUAACAAAUUUUAAAGAUUUUUUAAAGAAUGAACUAAUGAAUUGGGUUAGUAAGGGUGGUUGCCUUGUCUUGCUCAUUGCAAGAAUGAAAGCUGUAUAAGUUGAAUGAAAAUAUAAAUAUGACUUUGAAGCUCCUUUGUAAUGGUGGGGUUUCCCAGAAGUCAAGUUUCCUCAGUGGUGACAUAAAUCUACUGUGUGAGAAGCAUCUACCUGGACCAACCUACAAAUCAGCCCCCUGGGGAAGUGCUUCCUGCUGUGAGAAAUAAAUCCAGGAAUUCUGGGUCUUCUGUCUGCAUCUAUGAACCUGUGCAGGCUAAUUUCUUAGUUUCCAAGUAGAGUAAAAUCUCAGAACCCACAGUUUCUGAUAAUACAUACCCAUAUAUUUUCUAAAUUUUUCUGUUGAGAUGACCUA